AUAAAUCUCCCUCUUUCUUCCUCCCUCCCUUAGCGACAGCACUCUCCUCUUAUCUUGUCUUCUUUAGCGUCACAGGAGCAUGGCGAAGGAGCGUCCUUGUGCCCUAAGCUCGGAAGAGAGAGAGAGAGAGAGAGUGAGUGAGUGAGUGAGAGAGCGUGAGGCAGAGGGAGGGGAGAUGCGGCGUCAGUCAGCUGCAGUAGGCAGAGGACAGCGGCAGCAGUAAGCAGCAGUGCCGGUAACUGUGGCUGCCGUUCUCUAUUGUUCAGCCAAAGCGUUCUGCUUUUCGUUCCAGCCAACCAGAGGAGCAGAAGACGAGGAGAUCCGCCACAUUCACUGUUCCUUCGGGGAACACUAACUGAAGAGGCACGCAAACUCUUUCAGUCUGUGCGACUGAAGUUCUUUCUCUGCUCUCAUUGGGGUUUCUCUUCCUCCCGACCGAGUGGAUUUUACCCGACUCAGGGGAGCCAUGGGACUUGGGGUUAGGGGUGCAAGGACAGCGUUCCUGUGUUUAUGGAGGUUAUUUUUACUGCUCUGUGGAAUCUGGACCGUUUGCUCCCAAACGACAGGAGACGGGAAGUCGCUGUACUUCUGGGAAACAGGUCCGUGGGGAAGAUGUAUGGGCAGCGAGUGUGGUCCAGGCGGGAGUCAGAGUCGAGCGGUGUGGUGCGCUCAUGUGGAAGGCUGGACGACCCUUCACACAAACUGCCUUCAGGCCACACGGCCAGCCAACCAGCAGAGCUGCUUCCGCGUCUGCGACUGGCACAAGGACCUGUACGACUGGCGACUAGGCGCAUGGAACCAGUGCGUUCCCAUAUCACUGCGGACUGGCCGCACAGGUGUUUGCUUGCAGGGCGAAGAGGGCAUCCAGACGCGGGAGGUGAACUGUGCGCUCAGGGCGGAUGGCUCGGCGGCCGACGACGCCAUCUGUGAGUACUUUGAGCCCAAACCCCGGCAGGAACAGGCCUGUCUCAUUCCCUGCCCUCAAGACUGUGUGGUGACCGAGUUCACCCCCUGGACCACGUGCUCCAAGACCUGUGGGCUGGGCCUGCAGAACCGCGUCCGCUCCGUAGUGGCGCCGCCACUUUUCGGUGGGCUUCCUUGCCCCAAUCUGACAGAGUUCCAGACGUGUGCGCCGAGGGCCUGCGACGGCAGAGAGACGGUGUUCAAUCUGAGAGUGGGCGGCUGGAGCGAGUGCAUGCUGCCACCACCACCACCACCGGAGCCGACCUCCUCUGCCGCCCCCGCACGCACUGUACGCCAAGCCCGGCGGCGGAAAGGCAAAGAGAGGAAAGGAAACAGAGACCCGGAGAUGCGUGAGCUUAUCAAGAACAAAAGGAACCGCAACAGGCUGAAUCGACUAGAGGAUGACCUCUGGAAUAUCGAAGUAGGCUACCAGUCUCGGCAAGUGGUUUGUGUACAUCGAAACGGAAGUACGGUAUCACUCAGCCAGUGUCCCCACUGGAGUCUUCCGGAGACUUACCAGUCCUGCCUGAUGCCUAAAGACUGUGUGGUCAGUGAAUGGAGCAUGUGGGGCUCCUGCACCAAGACCUGCUCAGACCCCAGUGUUCCUCAGGGCGUACACUCCCGCAGCAGACAGCUGGUACGGCUUCCUACUGGAGGAGGGUCCGAGUGCCCCAACCUGGAGGAAAGUCAGACCUGUGAACCUGAAGGAAAUGGGGUGCCGCCCUGUGCUGCUUAUGCCUGGAGGACCACAGAAUGGAGUGAAUGUCGCGUUGACGCGCUGCUCAGCCAGCAGGACCGGCGGCGUGGGAAUCAGACUGGACUGUGUGGUGGAGGUGUGCAGAGCAGGGAAGUGUACUGCGUCCAGGCCAAUGCAGAACUUCUCAGUUACAUCAAUAACAACAAAGACAAACAAGAAGGUCAGUCUCCAAAUGGCCAGGUGCCUAGUGUCCCUCCUCUCCUGUCUAUCACCUUUGAGAUCUCAGCAUCACAACCCGUAGACAUUCGGUUCUGCAAGGGAACGUCUCCAAGUACCACGCAGCUGUGUAACAUCCCGUGCCCUGUGGAGUGUGAACUGUCCCCGUGGGGCGCCUGGGGGCCCUGCACCUUUGAGAAUUGUGAUGAACGGGUCGUGAAGAAAGGUUUCAAGUUCAGACGACGUACAAUCACUAAUGACCCCACGGGUGGCGAGGGGAAUUGUCCUCACCUAGUGGAGGCCAUCCCGUGCGAUGAUCCCAGCUGUUUUAACUGGCAGCUAGUCAAGCUAGAGGCAUGUAUCCCUGACGAAGACAUGGACUGCGGAGAGGGAACUCAGAUUCCACAGGUCCGCUGCAUCAACAAUGAAGGUACAGAGGUGGAGAAGGAGAUGUGUGCGGAUGAGGUCUACCCUGAAUCUGUGCCCUGUAUGGUUCCCUGCCCUAAAGACUGUGCUCUCAGUCUCUGGACUGAAUGGUCCACCUGCUCCCAGACCUGCUCCAGCAAAACCGCCGAGGGCAAGCAGAUGAGAACCAGAGCCAUACUGGCUUACAAUGCAGGAGAAGGAGGUUCCAGCUGUCCGAACACCAGCGCCCUACAGGAGGUGCGGAACUGUAAUGAGCAUCCUUGCAUCGUGUAUCACUGGCAGACGGGCCCCUGGGGGCAGUGCGUGGAGGACACCACCACAUCCACCCUCAAUACUUCCUCCAGUGCAGACAAGUCCACCUGCACCAUGGGCGUGCAGACUCGCAAGGUCAUCUGCAUAAAGGUCAAUGUCGGACAAGUGCCACCCAAAAAAUGUCCUGAAGCCCCUCGGCCAGAGUCAGUACGACCCUGUCUGUUGCCCUGUAAGAGAGACUGUAUAGUGACACCUUUCAGUGAAUGGACAGAGUGUCCCACAUCCUGUGAAGCAGGUGUGAAUGGGCAGAAGAAUAAACGGUUUCGAUAUCGAGUGGUCAUCCAGAUGCCAGCUAAUGGAGGUCAGGAGUGUCCAGACGUCCUUUAUGAAGAGAAAGACUGUGCGACUCCAUCCGUCUGUCCGGGUUACAGGUGGAAAACACACAAGUGGCGUAAAUGUCAGCUGGUCCCAUGGAGCAUCCGCAGAGACAGUAAAGGAGCUCAGGAGAACUGUGGAGCUGGAGUCCAAACUAGAGCUAUCUCAUGUAGGCAGCUGGAUGGUACAGUGGCUGAUGUUGUGCAGUGUCUGAAGUUUGCCAGCAGCAUGCCUGUUAUGAGCCAUCCCUGCCAGUUACCGUGCCGAGACGACUGCCAGCUCUCCAACUGGUCCAAGUUCUCUCCUUGCAGCUCGGACUGCGUAGGGGUCCGUACACGGAGGAGAGCUCUCGUGGGAAAAAGCAAGAAGAAGGAUAAGUGUAAGAACAGCCAGAUGUACCCACUGAGCGAGACCCAGUACUGCCCCUGUGACAAAUACAACGCCCAGCCGGUGGGCAACUGGUCUGACUGCAUCUUGCCCGAGGGCCGUGUGGAAAGCGCUGUGGGCAUGAAGGUCCAGGGAGAUAUUAAGGAGUGCGGCCAGGGCUACCGGUUCCAGGCCAUGGUGUGCUACGAUCAGGAUAACAGGCUCGUGGAGACUUCACGCUGUAACAGUCAUGGGUAUAUCGAGGAGGCCUGCAUCGUCCCUUGCCCUUCUGAUUGUAAACUCAGUGAAUGGUCCAACUGGUCGCGCUGCAGCAAAUCCUGUGGCAGUGGGGUCAAAGUUCGCUCAAAAUGGCUCAGAGAAAAGCCUUACAAUGGAGGAAGACCCUGCCCAAAACUGGACCACCUUAACCAGGCACAGGUCUAUGAGGUGGUCCCAUGCGUCAGUGACUGCAGUCAGUAUAUUUGGGUAGCUGAACCCUGGAGCGUGUGGAAAGUAAGUAACGUGGAUCUGAAGGAGAACUGUGGCGAGGGCGUGCAGACAAGAAGAGUCAGGUGUAUGUUGAACACAGUGGAUGGUCCCACUGACGCGGUGGAAGACUAUCUGUGUGAUCCAGAGGAUAUGCCACAGGGCACGAGGGAGAGCCGACUGCCUUGCCCGGAGGACUGUGUGCUUUCGGACUGGAGUCCCUGGACCCCGUGUGACCUGCCGUGUACUGGAAGAGGAGAUCGGGAGAGGACGGCGUUUGCGCUGCGUCUGCCUAAAGAAGGAGAUGACUGUCCGGUUAGCAUGCAGACUGAGCCCUGCCUCCUGAACCGCAACUGCUUUCACUACAGUUACAACAUCACCGACUGGAGCACAUGCCAAUUAAGUGCCAACGCUGUGUGUGGAAUCGGUCUCAAGACGAGGAUGCUGGACUGCGUUAGAAGCGACGGCAAAUCAGUUGACCUGAAGUACUGCAAAGAGCUGCGCUUAGAGAAGAAAUGGCAGAUGAAUGCUUCCUGCACAGUGGAGUGUCCAAUCAACUGCCAGCUCUCUGAUUGGUCAGCAUGGUCAGACUGCUCCCAGACCUGUGGCCUUGAAGGGAAGAUGUGGCGGAGACGGACGGUGGUUCAGGCGUCUCAAGGGGACGGCAGGCCUUGUCCGUCUCAGAUGGAGCAGUGGAAACCGUGUCCUGUGCGACCCUGCUACAGAUGGCAGUACGGCCCGUGGUCCGAGUGCCGUGUUGAGGAGGUGGUGUGCGGGGUGGGCCUACGUUUCCGGAACCUGUCGUGCUUUGUAUCAGACGGCUCCAGUGAUGGGAAGAGCAGCAUUGUAGAGGAAGAUCUCUGUGCUGGAUUGGAGCAGGCCGUUGACGGAGAUAAGAAAAUUGUUCUGGAGGAGACCUGCACCUUACCCUGCCCUGGUGACUGUUACCUGAUGGAGUGGUCCGACUGGAGCCAGUGUCAGAGAGUGUGUGUGAAGGGUCAGCGUUUGGACUUCACUCCGGUGCAGGUCCGCUCACGUGCCGUCAUCGCGCAGGAACCAGAAAACAUCGCUCAGUGUCCCGAUCAGGAGUGGCAGUCCCGCCCCUGCAGCAAUGGAGAGUGUUAUGAGUACCAGUGGAUGGGCGGUCCUCAGCUGAUCUGGUGUCAACGCUCUGAUGGAAUAAACGUCACAGGUGGAUGCCCUCCAGCACUACUGCCAGGGGCGGACCAGUCAUGUGAUCCACUUUGUGACAAACCACAGUCGUUCUGCUCAGAGGAGGGCGUAUGUAUGUGCGAGGAGGGCUAUACCGAGGUCCUGACAGCCGAGGGGAUGCUGGAGCAAUGUACCCCCAUCCCUGUGCUCGAAAUCCCUACCGCAGGGGACAAAAAAGCCGAUGUGAAGACCAGCCGGGCCAUCAACCCCACCCUGCCCACCACCGUACAGCCUGGCCGCGUGGGACGUACAUGGUACUUGCAACCUUUUGGACCAGACGGAACGCUGAAGACGUGGGUGUACGGAGUGGCGGCAGGUGUUUUUGUCCUCCUGGUAUUUAUAGUGUCAAUGAUUUACCUCGCAUGCAGUUACUGUGCCAUCCGGCGGUCGCUCGGGACGCCAGAUUCUGCCAACGGUACGGUGGUAUGGAUGGGUCAAGACGCCCAUGAACUGACGUACACCUGCCCUGAGUGCCAGCAGCCAAGUCAAGAAUCAAGAGCCAGUUAAAGGCCGGAGAAACAGGCUCCUGAUCUCCUGACAUCUCAGCCCCCUCUGCCUAGUGCCUCGGCCUCAGUCUGUGCCUUAUGAUCUGAUGUUCAAAGCAUCGAGCUGCCCGGCAAAAAGCCAAAGAAGCCUCAGCGAAGACAAAACAAUAAUCGACUGAAACCCCUGACCCUGGCGUACGAUGGCGACGCGGACAUGUAGCCUUUCCUGGAGAACUAACGUCAGCAAAACAUCAUCAACAUUCAGAAAAUGGCUGAAUCUCACUAGAACAUGUCUAGGUCACAUUAUACCCCAAAAUUAAAAGAAUGAUAUUUUUGAUGAAAAGAAACUAAGGCUAUUUUAGCAUCUUUAUGAUUUUGUACAUUGUGAUAUUAUGAAAAUGAGAUUAUUUCAUUAUUCAUGAUAAUGAAACACAUUACUUCCUAAAUCCUUUUUUUUUUUUUUUUUUUUUUACUGUAAUGCAUCUGGACGAUUGAAGUGUUUUUGUAAUUCUCAGUAUUGUCAAUGUUAAAAAUAUCUUCUUCUUUUUAUUUAAAUCAGAACAAGUUAAUCGCAAUAUAACUAAUAUUACCAUGAUGCAUAUUAAUAAUUUAUUGAAAUAUAAAUAUAUGAAAGUUUUUACAUUACAGUAAUAAGAAUUCGGGGUAAAUGUGCUUAAUUGUUAUGAAAAUAAUAUCACAAUGCACAUAGUCUUUAUAGUCAAGUCACCUUUAAUUUUAUAGCGCUUUAUACAAUAGAACUUCAUAGUUCUAUUGUAUAAUUCUAUUAUAGUUCUGUUAUUCAAAUGUUUCAAAGCAGCUUCACAGUAAUAAAGAGAAAAGUAACAGAAUUAAUGAUGCAAGCUUCAUCAGAUAUGACUGAUUCAGACUCUGCUGUAAAACAGCUGUAGCAAGAUAAUAGAGUUAUUCAUUAUUCAGCUCAAUUCAGUUCAAUAACUGUAAAUUUCAUUCAUUUUGAAAAAUUAAAUUCUGCUGUGAAGCAGCUCUACUGUCAUUAUUCAGUAGUGUCAAUAAAAAAGUCCUAAAUAAUCCUAAAAUAAGGCUUCAUUUUUUUGUUUAUGAAAAAUAUAAUUUCUUAUUUUUAUUACUGUUUGUUUUUGGGGUGAAGUAUGACCUAGGCAUGUUUUUGAGAUUCAUCCAAAAUACUCUUCCAAAUGAGAAAUGCCUAACCAUCACAAAUACUGGGCCCUCAUUGCUUGAAUCCAACUUAGAAGAAAGAAACAUCCAAGAGCCGCAAAAGAAAACCUUCAUACUUUGUUUUUACUUCCUGUCCUUGUUCUUUAAGAGCCUUUAUCUGCAUACGCUGUGAGAUCAUGCCUUUGUUUAUUUUCAGUUCCUUACAAGUAUUUGUCAAUUAUGCAACUGCGGUCAAGCUAGUGGUCUUCUACGACUGGUCGGACUUCUCUCUUGGACCUUACCGGAACAACGUUCUUCCGACUUGUGCUUCCCAGCUGAGAGGAUUCGUGUUUUUGGAGGGAGUUAUUGAAUA